rnacentral:lncRNA from 1 species
UUACGCGUGUAGGGGAACGCUGGGUCCUGGAUUUGCCAGAGGAAAGUAAAAAUUGGAAUUACAUCAUUGGUGGGAAUGUGAUGGAAGUUACGAAAUAAAAUAAUUCAGAGUCCAAGAUAGAAUUUUAAAAUGCUUACAUUUAAGUCAGCCUUAUGGAUGAGGAAAGGAAGAUGUAGAGGGUCAGUGGCAGGCUUUAGGUCUUCCUCCAGCCUGUAACAUAAACACACCGUCAGGUAUCAUGCCAGUAAAUCUCUACCCCACCCCCUUGCCAGCCAGGCUGCUGCUUCUGUAACUCUCCUAGGUGGCAUUCCUGGAGAUUCCCGUCAAGGUGAUCACUGAAGAGCUGGGUCUGGAAAGCAAGUGUUUGACUCUUUAUUUACCGAUUUUCUUCUAUGCCUUUUUGGGGGUUUUUGGUUUGUUUUUGUCUUUUUAGGGCCACACCUGUGGCAUAUGGAGGUUCCCAGGCUAGGGGUCGAAUUAGAGCUGUAGGUGCUGGCCUACACCACAGCCACAACAGUGCAGGAUCCAAGCCGUGUCUGCAGCCUACACCACAGCUCACGGCAAUGCUGAUCCUUAACCCACUGAGUGAGGCCAGGGAUUGAACCCGCAUCCUCAUGGGACGGGAGCCACGACGGCAACUCCUAGUAUCUGAACCACAUCUGCAACCUACCCCACAGCUCAUGGCAACUCUGGAUCGGUAACUCACUGAGGCCAGGGAUCAGACGCAUGUCCUCAUGGGUACUAGUCGGGUUCAUUACUACUGAGCACAACAGAAACUCCCUCUUUUUAAUUGUUUUUAAAAUACUCUAAGCAUAAGAUGCAUUCUACUUCUUUACUAUCACCUUAAUCAGAUGGCAGCUGACUCUUGAUGAGGCACUGAAUUACAAAGAUCUAGAAUUGCUGUCUCUUGGGCCCAUGGGGUGUCUUAGAUUACUGAAUUGCGUCUUUAGAGCACCUGUAGAAUUCAUGAGGUCAUAAAGUGGAUGGCAAAAAAGAUAUCUGAAAACUCAUCUUAAAAGGUGACUUUUUUUUUUUUUUGCUUUCAUAUAUGAAAUUCUAUUUCCCUAAGUGAUAUAGAGUUAUACUGAUGCAUUCUCUUUGAAGGACUAGCUCUCUAGCUUUUGAGAGAAAACUCAGAUAUGUAUUUUAAUCAUUAAAACCUUAAAAGUUGGCUGUAAGUGGCAGAGGCAUCAGGUUCCAAGCCCAAACUUUAUUUCAAUGACUGAAUCCAGAGCAAAUAAACCAUAUGCCAUUAUACUGCCUACAGUUUUAAAGUAUGGGUGUCUAGAAUGAACAACCAAUGGAAUCUCAGAGAAAUUUAAAAAAAAAUCUUUGAGGUAUCCCAGUGUCCCCUGGGUACCUGCCAACAGCCUAAAUCUCUGAUGGACCGUUCUUGUUAAAAGUAAGAAAAUCAGGAAGCAUAUCAACCAGGAGGGAUUUUUACUUCAAGUGACAGAAGUUAGAUCUACCACCAGCUUAAAUAGAUAAGGGCUUUUAUUCCUUCAAAAUAAGAUGUGGCAUCCUAGGUGUGGUGAAACUGCUCAAGGAUGUCAUUCAGAACACAGGCUCCUCUGUUCAUCCCCCUCCACUAGUCCUCAGUGGGUGGUUUUCAUGUCAGUAUGUUUGCUACCCGUCUGGGCAUUGUGUCUGCUCUCCAGCAAGAAGAAGGGGGAAAGGAAAAAGUCAAUAUGUUAUUAGAGAUGUCUGUUCUUAUUUGAAAAGUUUCCCAGAGUCUUUCCCCAGUGACUCUUGCUUCACUCUCACCGCCUAGAAUUGUGUCACCUGGACAUGCCUCGCUGGAAGAGAGUCUGGAUAAGCAAGCAUUUGGGGUUUCCAGACUUUUUAAUAGAGAAAGGAAAGAGAGGAUGAAAGAAUGGGUGAUUUAGAGAAGCCAAUCCUUGUAGGCUGUUGUAGCAAGUAAUUAUAUCUCAACAAGGUGAUGAAGCUGAAGGUGCAAAUAGUUUAUUUUCUAACUUUUUAAACUCUACCUCAUUGUCUUUCUUGCCAAAAACUGUGACGUAUUUUAAUCCAUAUGCUCCUGAGUACUUCAUUAUGUUAAUAUACAGAUUUCAGAACACUAUUAUUAUGAAUGGGUUAAUAAUGUAAUGAAAGGGAUAGUGUGUUUGUGUGAGAGAGAGACAAUUUUCUCUAUUCCUGAGUGCUUACUACGGGUAAGGCUCUAAAGUAGGAACUGGAUCCUUUUAUCAUUUAUACUACAAAUCUGUGAUACAGAUGUUAUUUGAUGGUGAGGAAGCUGCAGCUCAAAGAAGCUGAGCAGGUAGUUCAAGGUUACACAGUCUAAAUUCUGACAUUUGAACAUAGGAAAGCAUGUGGCUUUUUCUCAGUCUCACUCGUGGCUGCAUGUUGGACCUAUACUCCCAGAAAAGAUGAAGGUCCAGCAAAAUGAGUUUGGGUAUUUAGUAAAGAGACACCUAAAUUACAUCAAGAAAAUUGCAUCAUCUGUAUGGACUUUUUUCCCCUCUAUAAUUACUAGAUUCAUGAUUGUUUCUUCAUUCCUUUAUUCAACCAUGUUUAUUACAUUCUUUUCAUGUGCCCAGCAUUGUUCUGGGGCUUCAAGAUAAAACAAUAUCAAGACACAGGCUUCUGCCUCCAUGUAGCUUACUAUCUGGUUAAGUGGGAGAGAGAAAGAUUUUAAAGGCAAAUAAUUACAAAUUAAUAUAAGGAAGUUCCUAUUGUGGCACAAUGGAAGCAAAUCUGACUAGUAACCAUGAGGUUGCGGGUUCAAUCCCUCGCUCAGUGCGUUAGGGAUCCAGCGUUGCCUUGAGCUGUAGUGUGGUUUGAAGAUGUGGCUUGGAUCCUGUGUGGCUGUGGCUAUGGCUGUGGUGUAGGCCAGCGGCUACAAAUCCAAUUGGGACCCUAGCCUGGGAAACUCUAUGUGCCGUGGGUGCGGCCCUUAAAAAAAAAAUUAACACAGGUUAUGAAGAAAAUAAUUCAAGGAAUUGAAAUAACAGGAAGGAGGCACCUAUAUUAGGUUGUGAUACCAGUAAGAUGUCUGACCUAGAGAAUGAGAAAGGUUCCGGUUGGUUGGUUUGUUUGGUGAUGGGAGGGUGGAGAGACAGAGAAUUCUAGAAGUGGGAAUGGACCGAUUUUUGUAACCAAAAACGUUACUUGAAAACCUAAAAGUGUACCAGUGUGGCUGGAGCACAGUGAGGAAUGAAAAGUGGAAGAAACGAAGUUGGAAAUCCAAGCAGGAGGCAAAUUCAUCAGGGUAUUGUUGAUACAGUAGAGUUUGCAUUUAGACGGUGCAGUCUUGGCGCUCUGUGAAUCCAGGGUAAUAAUGCUGUUCACCAGCCCUUAUCAUUUAUGGAAGGACGUAAUACAUUCUGUGUCACCCAUAUCUAGGUGCACUUAAAAAAAAAAAAAAAGGAGAGAGAGAGAGAAAGCAAAAAACAGAAUCUCUCUCUCAGUCUGAUCUCUUACUGAGCUCUGACUAUCUCCCUGGAUCUUCCAUAUCCUCUUACUACUUGUCUAAAAUAAACUCACCAUAUUUUUUCAGAAUUUACAUAUCUUACAUUCUUGAUCUCAGUGAAAAAAGCCAACAUCCACCUAAUCACCAAAGACAAGACUCUAUAGAUGAUUCAUCUGUAUCCUAAAAUGCUCUCCAAACAGUCCAUCAGUUGCCAGGUUCUGUAGAUUCUGCAUCCACUGCAUCACUUAUGGUGUAUCCUCCUCAGCAUCUUUACUCUAUUGUCUUAAUUCACAUGCUCACCAUUUCUUAGAAUGAUUUCCAGACAGGCUAUUUUUCCUCAUCUCUCACACUCUUCCUAUCUGCCUUCCUUACCAUCACCACAGUGAGCUUCUAAAAACCCAAGUACAUCUUCGCUGUUUAAAAUCUUUAUGACAUAUUUUACUCUGGAUGAAGUUUCUCUCUCUUUCUAUUUUUUUUUUUUUUAAGGGCCACACCUGCUGCAUAUGGAGGUUCCCAUGCUAGGGGUCUAAUCGGUGCUACAGAUGCUGGUCUACCCCACAGCAAUCAAUGUCAGAUCAGAGCCGUGUCUGUGACCUACACCACAGCUCAUGGCAACGCCGGAUCCUUAACCCACUGAGCAAGGACAGGGAUUGAACCCACAAUCUCAUGGUUCCUAUUCAGUUUCAUUUCCAUUGUGCCAUGACAGGAACUCCUCUAAUUAUCUUUUACUUAUCUUCUUAUCUUUUACUGCAUCAUUUCUUGGACCUUUUAUUCUAGUCCUGCAGAACUGCUUGCAGCACCCCUGACAAGCCUACCUUUUGAGUUUGCUCACUUUACCUGGAAAGCUCUUCUGUUUCCCUCUGAUUGAUGGACAGAAAACAACUAUCUAGAGGACUGACUCCCCUUUGAAUAGAAGGAUCUUUCAUUACGUACUCUGUGAAGGCUUCCUUUCCCACCUCAUUGCACCAAGUCUGCAUCUCUGAUAAUCCAGCACUUAAUUGCUUAAUUCCAUUCCAUAGCAAUUUCCCAGAGGUUUGUGUUCACUAAUUUUAGAUAAAAAUAAAUUAGGAGCAGAGCUUUUCCUAGGAGAAGAUUAGUUAGUUCUACAGAUUUUAAAGGAGGAAUGAACAGCAUUUUACAUAUAUUUAAUAUUUCUAACAGUAGGUACAGUUGUCCCCUGGUAUCGACAGGGAAUUGGUUCCAGGAGCCCUCAAGUAUAUCAAAAUCUGAGGAUGCUCAAGUCCCAUACUUGACCCUCUGUAUCUGAGGUUACACAUUCUCGGAUUCAACCAACCACGAAUUGUGUAGUACUGUAUAUAUUUAUUUUAAAAACACCUGUGUAUAAGUGAAUCUUCAGAAUUCAAAUCCAUUUGCCCACGUGUCAGUGGUAUAGUUAUAUAAACUAUUUCUCACUGUUAUUCAGUUCUCUUAAACUGUUAAAAUGUGUCCAUGAUGGUAAUAUGCUUUAUAUACUACUUAGAGAAUACAUCUUUCUAAGGGACUCAUAGGAUGCCGAGAAUUUCCACAUACUGACAGUGUGUGUAUAUAUGAUGCUACUGUGGAGGAAUUGUCCAUAAUAUUAUUUAGUGUCUUGUUCUUUUCAUCCUUGUCCAGCUCAUUUUAUUACUUGAACACAAUUUUCUUUUUUGAGAAAUCAUUUAAAUUAUUUCUUAUUUGUUCCAUUACAUUAAAAUGGAACUUGAUAGCAUGCAGUCACAGUGAUAAGAUUAUGAUUCUGGAAUAUUAAAAAAAACCAACCUGAAUGUUCAAAACAGCAUGAAAUUAGAUAUAAUCAUUUUAGUUUGCUUUUGACAGAUGUGUUAAGCAAUUUUAUGCUAUGUCAUUUCCUUCCAUCUAAUACUAUAAGAAAUAAACCCUGCCAGUAAUUAGUAACCUUUUGUGUUUAUCUCACAGUUUUCUUCCAAGUGAUAUAGGUGUUUUCAAGUACAUUAUCUAAUUAAGUGUUCUCUUAUAUGAAUCCUACCAGUUCAAUACUAAAGUAUGGAUAGAUUUUAACUUAUUUUCUAUAAUGAAAAUCAUAGUCAACUGUGGUUAUGGCAUGAUAAUCCUUAUAUAUCCUGUGUUAUUUAGGUUGAAGUUGUACAUACCUACAAACCAUUUUCCACCACUCAUCAUUUCUUUCUGCCCUUACAUCCCCUUCUUGGGGCAUAUAGCAAAGCCUCUCUGGAGGCUUCUAGUGUCUUCGUAUGGGAGGAGUGAGAGAGGGAAGGGGACAGAGAAUGAAAAAGACCAAAUAUGUUUAGGAUGUACCAAGCUAGUCUUACUUUAUUGAGGUCUUUUUUUUUUUUUCAUUAGUUUGUUUUUAAUAUUGAAUGGUGGAUUUUCCUAAAUGUUCUAGCAACAUAUAAAGAAAUUAUUUUCUCCCUUAUAUUGUAGUGAAUUAUAUCAAUAAAUUUCCUAGUAUUAAAAUAACCUUGCAUUUAUUUCAUAAACUGAAUCUGGUUGUGGUAUUACUUCUUUCAAUUAAUUGAUGUCUUUCAAUUAGCUGAUAUUCAUUGCUAAAUUCUGUUUGUUUAUAACUGAGAUUUGUCUAUAAUUUUCUUUGGGGCACUAUCCUUCUCAGUUUUUAAUAUUGUUUUUGUGCUCAUGUCAUUAAAUAAUAAUUAGAAAGGUUUUCCUCAUUAAAAGUGUGUAAAUAGCAUCAAAACAGAACAGUUUAAGUAGCAUACCCAUCAUUUUGAAAAGGAAACUUUUUGGCAGUCUUCUAAAUUCCUAUACAGUAUUCUUGCUUUAGAUUUUCUAUGUCGUCUUUGGAAAGUUUUGAAAUUAUAAUUUCCUGGAAAAGUAUCUACCUUCGUGUAUAUUUUCAACUUUAUUUGUACAUAAUCGAAUAACCUCAUAAGUUUUUAAUCUCGUAAGUUCUAUCCAUAUGUGUUGUUUCUCAUUAUUUAUUAUAUGUGCUUUCUCACCAUUUUUCUGAGAAAUUUUGAUAAGUCUUUAGUCAUUUCAUUGUAUUUUCUCUUACUGUCCAUGUCUUUGAUUUAUUCAGUGGUUUUACCAUCUUUCUCCUUGGUUUUUGAUAGAUUUCUGCUUGUUGUCUUUAUUAAUUUUCCUUCUCUUCUUAGCCCCUCUUUUAUUCUUUUCAAUGUCUUUUUCUAACUUCUUUUAGUUCAACGAUUGAUUUCCAUUCUUUCUGGUGAAUGUGUGUAUUUAAAACUGUGGAUUUUUCUGUUUUUCUUUGAACAUUUCUUUUAAUGCUUCUCAAAUAUUUUAAUAAAGAACAUUUUAGGAGUUCCCAUCACGGCUCAGUGGUUAACGAAUCCGACUAGGAACCAGGAGGUUGUGGAUUCGAUCCCUGGCCUUGCUCAGUGGGUUAAGGAUCCGGUGUUCCCGUGAGCUGUGGCGUAGGUCGCAGACGCAGCUUGUAUCCCGCAUUGCUGUGGCCCUGUUGUACCUCUAUAUGCCCCUAGAGCGGCCCAA